AGAGUUUGAUCCUGGCUCAGAUUGAACGCUGGCGGCAUGCCUUACUCAUGCAAGUCGAACGGCAGCACGGGGGGUAACCCCUGGUGGCGAGUGGCGAACGGGUGAGUAAUAUAUCGGAACGUGCCCUGUAGCGGGGGAUAACCUAUCGAAAGAUGGACUAAUACCGCAUACGCUCUACGGAGGAAAGCGGGGGUCGCAAGACCUCGCACUAUAGGAGCGGCCGAUAUCGGAUUAGCUAGUUGGCGGGGUAAAAGCCCACCAAGGCGACGAUCCGUAGCUGGUCUGAGAGGAUGAUCAGCCACACUGGAACUGAGACACGGUCCAGACUCCUACGGGAGGCAGCAGUGGGGAAUUUUGGACAAUGGGCGCAAGCCUGAUCCAGCCAUGCCGCGUGAGUGAAGAAGGCCUUCGGGUUGUAAAGCUCUUUCGGCAGGAACGAAAUGGUUCGUGCUAAUACCACGGAUUGAUGACGGUACCUGAAGAAGAAGCACCGGCUAACUACGUGCCAGCAGCCGCGGUAAUUC
rnacentral:rRNA from 1 species